rnacentral:lncRNA from 10 species
AUCUGUUCUAAAAGAAGUGCUAAAGAGAAACAGUUCUUCAUAUUGAAAAAUAAAAUGAUGGUAAAUAGUAACACAAAAUUAAUAGAAAUAUAAAGUUUUCUGGUAACAGUAAUUAUAUACACAAUAAAAUAUUCUGUAUUAUGACGACAGUGCAGAGAAUACUUUUAAUUCUGCUAUAGAUUUGAAGUCAAACACUUAAAAAUAACCACAAAUCUGUGCUAAUGGAUUCACAGUAUAAAGUGAUAUAAUUUGUGAUAUCAAUAAAAUACAAUGGAGGGCUCCUAAAGAGGCAGGAUUUUUGUAUGCAAUUAAGGUUAGCAGCUUGAGGUAAAUUGUUAUAACUUUAAGAUGUUUUACAUAAUAUCUAUGGUAACCACAAAGCAAAUACCUAUAACAGAUACACAGAGAGAAGUGGGAAAGGAAUUAAAACAUGUCACUACAAAAAUCAACAAAACACUAAGGAAGAUAGCAAGAGAGGAAAACAGGACCAAAAUAGAUACAAGACCUAAAACAAAAAAGUGAACAAAAUGCAAUAGUGAGUCAUUCUCUUUCAGUAAUUACUUUCUACAUAAAUGAAUAAAUUCGAAAGACAACUUGGCUGAAUAAAUUCAAGAAAAAAGAUCCAACUCCAUGCUUUCCAUGGAAGGCCAAAUUUAGAUCUAAGAACACACAUAAGCUGAACAUGAAAGAAUGGAAAAAAAUAAUGAGAAAAGUAAAAUACUGUCAUAUUAGUUAAAAUACAUGUUACAUCAAAACAUAUCACAAGAGAUAAGAAAGAGCACUAUAUAAUUAUAAAAGGGUUCAUUGUCCAGGAAGCUAUAAUAAAUAUUAACAUAUAUGCACAUAACAUCACACCUCUCAAAUACAUGCAGCAACUGGGAAACUUUUACAGAAUUGAAGCAAUAAGUAGCCAGCAGUACAAUAGUAGUA